rnacentral:rRNA from 1 species
UACGUAGGGUGCGAGCGUUAAUCGGAAUUACUGGGCGUAAAGCGUGCGCAGGCGGUUUUGUAAGCCAGAUGUGAAAUCCCCGGGCUUAACCUGGGAAUGGCAUUUGGGACUGCAAGGCUGGAGUGUGGCAGAGGAGACUGGAAUUCCCGGUGUAGCAGUGAAAUGCGUUGAUAUCUAUCGGAACGCCGAAGGUGAAAGCAGGCCGCUGGGCCGAUUCUGACGCUGAGGUACGAAGGCGUGGGGAGCGAACGGG